rnacentral:rRNA from 1 species
UACGUAGGGGGCAAGCGUUGUCCGGAUUUAUUGGGCGUAAAGAGCUCGUAGGUGGUUCGGCAAGUCGGAUGUGAAAUCUCCAGGCUCAACCUGGAGGGGUCAUUCGAUACUGCCGUGACUAGAGGUCGGUAGGGGAGUGUGGAAUUCCUGGUGGAGCGGUGAAAUGCGCAGAUAUCAGGAAGAACACCCGUGGCGAAGGCGGCUCUCUGGGACGGUACUGACGCUGAGACGCGAAAGCGUGGGGAGCGAACAGG